rnacentral:lncRNA from 1 species
AGGAGGAAGAUGGUAGCAGGGGGGAACCCGAAGGAGAAGAAGUUAGGGAAGAAGGGGAAGGAAAACGUAAAAAUCAAGCAUAUUCAUUUCAUUAAUUCAUCAACUAUCCCAAGUAAACAACAAAACAUAUAUAAAUAGCCAACAAAACCCUAAAGAUAAGGGGCUUGGGCCAAACCAAUUAUACAAGCCCAAUAAAACAUAAGGCCUAAAAUAAAUGGAAGAUAAAAUGGCC